rnacentral:rRNA from 1 species
AUGGUGUACUCGGCCAGCGUUGCCGGCGGCCGCCCGGAGAGGGAGCAGGACAGCUGGCCGCCGCAGUCGCCGGUCCGGCAGCUCCCGCUGCCGCCAUUGAAGGAGCACCCGGUGCGGGCCCAUAUCCUCCCGGCUUUGGUGCCCGCGGGCACGUUGAUGCUGGACGUCUGGCCUGCGCCCAGCGCGAAGCCCCCACCCACCGGGAUGCCCGCCGGCCAAAUUGUGGAGCCGCAGUUGUUCUUGAUGUUGAAGGUGGCCGCGCUGGCACCGGCGGCGAAAACAGCCAGGAGGAGGAAGAGCACCGCGGAGGUCGCCAUUGCUGCAAGCUCUAGUUAG